AUUGAACGCUGGCGGAAUGCUUUACACAUGCAAGUCGAACGGCAGCACGGACUUCGGUCUGGUGGCGAGUGGCGAACGGGUGAGUAAUAUAUCGGAACGUGCCCAGUCGUGGGGGAUAACGUAGCGAAAGUUACGCUAAUACCGCAUACGAUCUACGGAUGAAAGCGGGGGAUCGCAAGACCUCGCGCGAUUGGAGCGGCCGAUAUCAGAUUAGGUAGUUGGUGGGGUAAAGGCUCACCAAGCCAACGAUCUGUAGCUGGUCUGAGAGGACGACCAGCCACACUGGAACUGAGACACGGUCCAGACUCCUACGGGAGGCAGCAGUGGGGAAUUUUGGACAAUGGACGCAAGUCUGAUCCAGCCAUUCCGCGUGCAGGAUGAAGGCCCUCGGGUUGUAAACUGCUUUUGUACAGAACGAAAAGGCUCUUCCUAAUACGAGGGGCUCAUGACGGUACUGUAAGAAUAAGCACCGGCUAACUACGUGCCAGCAGCCGCGGUAAUACGUAGGGUGCAAGCGUUAAUCGGAAUUACUGGGCGUAAAGCGUGCGCAGGCGGUUAUGUAAGACAGAGGUGAAAUCCCCGGGCUCAACCUGGGAACUGCCUUUGUGACUGCAUAGCUAGAGUACGGCAGAGGGGGAUGGAAUUCCGCGUGUAGCAGUGAAAUGCGUAGAUAUGCGGAGGAACACCGAUGGCGAANGCAAUCCCCUGGGCCUGUACUGACGCUCAUGCACGAAAGCGUGGGGAGCAAACAGGAUUAGAUACCCUGGUAGUCCACGCCCUAAACGAUGUCAACUGGUUGUUGGGUCUUCACUGACUCAGUAACGAAGCUAACGCGUGAAGUUGACCGCCUGGGGAGUACGGNCGCAAGGUUGAAACUCAAGGGAAUUGACGGGGACCCGCACAAGCGGUGGAUGAUGUGGUUUAA
rnacentral:rRNA from 1 species